rnacentral:sRNA from 1 species
ACCAUUGUUUCGCCAUCCCUCUGGACAGUAGUUUGUGAUGGUUGCUGCAACGGGGAAAGAUUUCUCAGACAAACGUUGGUGGAGGUUUGGUGAUUUGUCAAAGUCAAAGAAGGUCGUGAUUAGUAUAUUCAAUAAAGGAAAAUAUUUUGGAAAUAUAAUUGAAAAAAAGUGAUCCAGAAUAGGUGUUGGAGGUACGAAAUGUAUUUUCG